rnacentral:misc_RNA from 1 species
CCGAACCGUCGACACGAGUUGUUGCUGGCCUCUCAGGCAUGUGCACACUCUGUCUACAUAUCCACUCACACCUGUGCACUCUCUGUAGUUCUGUGGCCUGAGAUGCCGCGGUUCUACGUCUUUAUAUACACCCUGUAGUGAAGUCUUAUGGAAUGUGUGCCGCGUUUAACGCAAUGAAAUA